AGCCUUCUGUAUCCGUGCUGAGAUUUCGUCACACACCAGACCACAAGGGCUGAUGAAAAUUCCAAGAUAUAUGAAGCG
rnacentral:pre_miRNA from 1 species